UUAGAGUGGCUUCCCCUUGGUCACAAACGUGUUUAUCUUUAAGAAAUAUGAGCUUGUCUUUCCUACCCCUUAAAUCCUUCAGGCUUGGCCGUCUUUCUUCUGAGGUUCUAUCUCAGCUGUGCAAGUUGGGGCUUCCUCUUUUGUUUGAUUGUGUCUUUAAUAAAACCCUGGGCUAAAGGCCCAUCUGAUCCGAGUUGGCUUUGGGCCCUGGGUCUUAGUCUGGCCACUCUUGGUGCUCCUGGGACAGGGCAUAGUGUGCUCCUCUCUCAUUCAUGCAUUCAUUCAUCCAUUCGUUCAUUUAAUAUCUGUUGAACUCUUAUGUGCCAGGCACUAGCUAGGUCCUGGGGAUACCAAAAGUGUCAGGCAAAUAGAAACGGGUGCUGAUCCUCAGAGAACACCUUGUCUAAUGAAGGGGGCUCUUGGAUGUGGGGAGGUAUGUGAGUGAGCCAUGCAAGCUGGGGAUAAAAGUCAAGAGGCUGUGAGAACUUGUAGAUCGGGUUUGAAAUUUUCGUGUUUUGUCCUAGAAGCCUGAGGGAACCAUGGAAAGAUUUUAAGCAGCGGAGAGAAAUGGUCACAUUUGGGUUUUUGGAAAAAGACCCUAGCUGCUGUGUGGUUUUUGGGAAAAGACCCCAGCUUCUAACACCAGUUAGAAGGGGGAGGGGAGAGGGGAUCGGUCAGGGAACCCAUCAGGCAAUGCCAGUGUCUAGGAUUGGAGGGGCUUGGGGAGAAGGGGUUGAGGACGUAACCCACGUGGAGGAGGAUGGCAUACCGCGGGUGUAGAUUGCAGAGGCAGUUGACCAACACUGAAUGCAGACCCUGGAGCAGGGACACAACUGCCAGGCGUGGAGAGUAUUGAGUUGAGGUGCCUUUGAAAGGAGGCGAUAUUCAGGUCAAGAGCUCAUGGGAGAGGUGUGGCCUAUAGAUAGCCAUUGGUGAAUUAUCUGCCAUAUGUAGUUACUCCAUAGGAAUGGUGGAACUUGCCAGGGAGACAGACUAGAAAAGCGAGGGUGCCUUGGGGUCAGGGAGGUGCAUCUGUCCAAGGAGGUUGAGGAGGAAUGGCCAGAGAAGUAGGAGGGAUGCCAGGGAGUGGUAGGGUCACAAUAGCCUUGAAGGAGUAUCUCUGUGUUUCUCCACGACCGUUUGCCUUAAUCACAAACACAUCUCCUUCAUCCUGCAUGUUAGAUGUAGGGAGCAGGGGGCAAACUAGUCUGGUGCUAAUGCCCUCUGGAAAGGGCAUGUGGGCCCUCAGCCUGGACAGGAGGGCCAAGGAGGAUUCUGGCAAACUCCAUGAGAUUAGGUGGCAACGGCAGGCACAUCAGAGAGUUGGGGACAGGCAUGGAGAAGCUUGUGGCAGUUCAAGGCUGGGUGGGAGAAUUUUCUUUGUCUACAGGUCCAUGGACUGUGAGCUCAGGGACAUUAUAAAGAAAGAGAACAAGGAGACCAAGGGACAGGAGAUGCGGGGUCUCUUUGGAGGUUGCGGGGACUAACAAGCUCGAUUUGGGAGAGGUAGUGAGAGGGAAGAGCAAGGCCAGUUCUGACCACUGGCUUCCAAGAAGGCCAGCUUCCAUGGCCUGUUGGCUCUUGAGAUAGAAGCUAUUUCCCGCCCUGUGUCAUAUGGGCAUGUUUCUUGGAGAAGCAAGGAGUAAGAGUUUGUCAAGGUAAGAGAACAAUCAGAGGGGAGGAGAAGAUCACAUAAGGGAAACCAGUGAGGAUCUGAAAGGGAACAGGCCAGUACUCCAGGACUGUUGUUCCAAAUUUAUUCAGGCACCGAGAAAAUUUCUAAAGCCCCUCUAGCCUUUUUUAGAGCUGCUCAAAGCGUAUGGGGCAUGCCUAGGGCCCAGAGAAAAGGGGCAGUGGAGAGGCGGACUGAAAGAAGCAGGGAGGGUCAGCGUGGGCCACAGGUUAAGACGACUUCGGCAGAUAGAGGCAACCAUCAGAUCCUCUCCACCACUCUCUGGGCCAGCAUACCACAGCUAGCACGGACAGACUCCUUCACCCCUCGCCAAAGCACUGGGUCUGGCUGCCAUCUUGGGUCUGGCUAUUUCAGACAGGCCCCAACUGGAGUCCCUCACAGUAAAGCCUUACCACAGAAAGAGCAGUCCUGCCAAAGUGCAGGCUUAAGUCCGUGGACGGGGAAGAAAGAGUACUUUCAGACCCCCUUUGGAGUGUGGCUUCCUCAUGACUUCCAAGGCAAGACAUACAUUGGGACAAAGAAAUAGGUUUUCAGGGGGAAACAGGAGACUCAGUGUGGGUACCAGAGAUGGCCACCAUGACCCUGAAGGGACAAUUUUGGAGUGGUUCUCCCAAGGAUGGGGGGCAGGGGGCAGGCAAUGCUUGCACUUCCAGCCCUCAAUUUCCCCACUUGUAGAAUGGGGGGUAAUGGAAGAGUCUACCUGAGAGAAACGUUGAGGAUUUUACGAGUUAAUUUUUAUAUAGAAUACUUAGAACAGCCAGACACAUCACAAAUGAUAGUAAAUACUAUCACGAUUUCAUGAGACAUUGUCCAUUUACUUGAAAUUCUUGGACUUUGUGGGCACAUACCACAUUUCCUACCGAUGUGACUCUACACUGCUCGAAAAGUAGGCAUUCCAGUUUAAUGAUUUAAUAGUAAUGAGGAGAUUCAAUUCCAGAAUUACAUAUUGGGAUCAUUUUGAAGAAAUUUUCCACGAAUGCUUAUUAGAGUGGAAAGAAUACAGAGUCAGGUGUCAGAAGACCACAGAUAUUUGUGCUAGCAUCUUCCAUAUGCUAGACUUCAAUGGUCACUGUGAUAGAAAUGGCAACCCUGCGAGCACCAAUUUCUACAUUUGUAAAAUGAAGAUAAGCCUACCUAUCCAACUGACCACAACAGAGCUGAGCCACCUGUCAGCAGUGCGUGGGCAGACUCCCGACUCCACAAGAAUGGAGGGAACUCAAUGCAUCUCAUGGAAGGAAGACCUCACAUUGCCAGGUUGUCAGUCCUCCCCGAAUGGAUCCCUGCCUUUGACCCAAUUCCGAUGAAAAUUGCAGUGAGAGCUUUGUGCACUUGGAGUGGUGUGAAGACAAAGGCGAAGGAGGGCAGCGUGAGGCCUCUAACAUCCUACAGACCCGGGGCAAGCGAAUGCGGUGUCUCUACAUUCACUCGCAGCUUCUGCAAAUGGUUUUCCUGUUUUCUGAAAUUCAUCUGCGCUCUCUCUACCCCCGCCCCCCACCAACCUGGCCACCCUGUAGAUUAUAAACGAAGGCCCCUAUCCUUCAGUAUAUUGAGUCGGUGAUUUCACUGAAUGAACGUGGCAUUCCAAGUCAGCGAAAAAAAAUAUGUUUACAAAUGUGAGCUCUGAAGAAAGGAGACUUUGGUAGCCAGUGGAGGCCACUGUGUUCCAGGACCUCAGAUGGCCUUCAGCGUGAAGUAAGCCUUAACUGAAGAGCUUCACUUCUGCCCAGCCAGGACACUUUCAGUUUGUCUCUCAGUCUCCGGGGAAGUAAUCUUGUUUAAUGUCCUGUAUUUUUCUCUCACAGCCUCUUGUCCAUUGGGUGACAGGAAAAACACCAACUUGGGUUUUGCGUUAUUUACUUUCUAAGAUCCUAAUUAAACUCCAUCUGGCGCUGUUUAUGGAAGGGAAGAGGCCUCUGAUAAGCACAGCUGGGGAGAAGAUUUCCCAGUGCUGCUGUCCCGUGAUUUUGCUCACUUGCUCCCAGCACAGAGGCCCCUCAGUGAAAGGAAACCCGAAGACAAGAUAUCUGUUCAGAAUUUCAUCAAGUCCUCGGAUUUGGGUGGAGAUAGAUGCAUGACAUGGUAUGGAACUGGAGACCCCAGAAGAUUCUGGAGAGUCUAGAACUCACUGCCUUUAAAGGCCCACCUGUCUUUCCCUUUCAACUCCAUGCCAAUGCUCAUUCAUGGCCCAACUGAAGAAACAAGAGGAAAAUUAAGCUAUUUGUGAUCAGAAUGUUGGGUCUUUAGAUUGGGGAGGGACCAGAGAAGACAUUCCACCCAAUAUCCUAUUUUUCAUAGACUGAUCUAAGGCCUAUUUACCCCCAUGACAUGCUUGUGUGUGAUUAACACUGGCCUGCCGAUAAUGUAUCAGAAAUUAUUGCAAAGGACAAUAGUCCGGGAUUAUGUGGGGCCAGGGAUAGGUGGGGCUAGGAUCAGAACUCUGGGUCUUUAAAAACUAUCCUAUUUUUUUUAAACAUAUGAACUGGAUAAAAGUUAUAAAUAAACCAGAGUUCUUAUUUUC